GGUUUGUGGCUCAGUGGCAGAGUGCUUGCCUUAUACAUGUGAGGCACUGGGUUCGAUCCUCAGCACCA
rnacentral:tRNA from 1 species